AUAACGCAUGUUCCGGGAACAUCAACAAUCAACCGAAUAUCUUCAGUCAAACAGAUGAAUCACUCAACCCAUUCAACGAUGGAGAUAGUUUUGCUCUAAUUAGACGGGACAUCAAUGAAAAAAUGGAACUUACAGAGUUGCUCAACAAGUGGGAAAUUCUAAAGACGCAAGAUGGACUCUUCGAACACUUUAAGAAUCUAACAGAAACUGACAUCCAAACUAUGACUCCAAAGCUCAGGGAUAAAUACAGUUAUGAUUUACUUUGCAUGCAUGAAGAAAGAAUUCGAAGGACAAAAAGACCUGGAGAAAUUGAUAAAAGCGAUUUGCCACUAUUUCAAGGAAGAUGCUGACACAAUUUUGCAACACCAAGAGAUCAAUUCGCAAAAUCUCAUGACGUCACAUCCUGGGGUUUAUAUUAUAGAAAACACAGGAGAUCACAUGAUAUUCUACAAAGGGCAGGAGAUUCAGAAAGGAGCAAAUAACUGGGAAGCGUUUGAAAUAAUGUUCGCAAUGUAUUACAUUUUCAAUGAAUGCUUUCCCAGAGAGAUUGCUUGCACACUGGAAUUUUUCCAGCGAUACGUGUUAAAAAUACAUCCAACAGAUGGAACAAAAAAUAUGAAAAGAAG